UUACCCGGUCCCUCCGCCUGGCGGGCUCCAAACGGAACCCGUGAAGAGGGAAGAACCACUCUUCGGUCAUCUCGACCUCCAGGACGCUCAUGGUGGACUCAACUUCGCUAGGGAAAGAACCCAUUGCAAGCGAGAAAAAGAAAUCAAAAAGAAGAGGGACCUGAGGGAAAUGCCGGAGAGAAGGAACUUCGGUCUGAGGAAGACUGGAAGGAAAGCUGGAAGCAGAAGGCAAUAGAAAAAGGACAAGGGGCCAGGGGAGAGUUUAAAUAGACCUCCCCAACGGCCCAGAUCAGCGAGAAAAACG
rnacentral:lncRNA from 1 species